UAACACGUAGGAACGUACCCCAAACUGAGGGAUAAGCACCAGAAAUGGUGUCUAAUACCGCAUGUGAUCUUCGGAUUAAAGCUCCGGCGGUUUGGGAACGGCCUGCGCAUGAUUAGCUUGUUGGUGAGGUAAUGGCUCACCAAGGCGAUGAUCAUUAGCUGGUCUGAGAGGAUGAUCAGCCAGACUGGGACUGAGACACGGCCCAG
rnacentral:rRNA from 1 species